CAAUGAUACAGUCACGAAACGUUUCUUGGUAGCAGUUUGCUACGCCAAUCUAAUGGAUAUGGUAGCGAUAGUUGAUAGGUUAGCCUUUAGAUCAGGUAGCAGUAGAUUGUGUAGCGUAGAUAUUGUAGCAAUAUGUAGGUAGCAAUAUGUAGGUUCGAACUGAAACACGACAAUAAAAUAAAACUACUUAACUAAGUGAUAUACUUAAGCAUGCAAUAAACUAACGAAUGUCAAUGAAUAACAAAACUAACUAAACAUAAACUAAUAAACAAUCCAAUACUGUAACUUACGUACUUUAGUUUACACCUGUACUCCAAUAGCUGGCUGCUGUAGAUAGAUAAUUGAAGUAGAAAUCCACUAUAUUUGAAUAGGUUGCGUUCGCAUGUCUUUUUGUACUACCGUCAAUUCAAUACUAAAGAGGUGUGACUUAAUGUCACGCAAACAUACAAGGCUGAUAUGCCACAAGGGCAUUACGUAAUUAUGAUCUACUAGAUAUCCUGUUUCAAACUAACAC